rnacentral:rRNA from 1 species
AUGCUAGGUAGUCUUGACUGCAUGCAUUGGAGGUGGAAAAAUUGCCCAAAGGCAUGGCACGGAAUGUAUUGCGGUAAAAGCCGUGAUGCUACCAUUGUGCUUGAGGCCGUAGCAUCUCAGGACACAUGGACUUGGCAUGCAUUCUUUGGGUUGCCAGGAACACUCAAUGAUAUCAAUAUCCUCAAUGGAUCUCCUUUGUUCAAAAGAUUAAUUUCUGGGGAUGCUCCAGCUUGCAACUACAAAAUCAUGGACAAUGAGUACUCAAUGGGAUACUAUCUCACCAAUGGCAUCUAUCCCGAAUGGGCAACUCUUGUGAAGUCCAUCAAGGAGAAAAAUGGGGUGCCCUUAACAAGAAAAGAGGCUCAUUUCACCAAGGCACAAGAGGCAGCCCGCAAAGAUAUUGAGAGAGCUUUCGGUGUUUUGCAAGCAAGGUUUGCCAUAGUUCGUGGUCCAGCUCAGUUUUGGGACAAAAAAACCUUGAUGAACAUCAUGAAAUGUUGUGUGAUUCUACACAACAUGAUCCUAGAGGAUGAGAGAGGGUUAAACCUCCCUUGUUUCUAUGACAAUGUUGGUACCCGUGUGCAACCGGAAAGAAACCCUUCUCGCAUACACGCUUUUCUUCAAGCACAUCGUCAGAUUGAGGAUGCAACCACUCAUGGUCAGCUCCGGGAUGAUCUAAUAGAGCACCACUGGCAGUUGGAUGGGCGGCGCAUUGGCCCAUGA